rnacentral:rRNA from 1 species
AUCUGGUUGAUCCUGCCAGUAGUCAUACGCUCGUCUCAAAGAUUAAGCCAUGCAUGUGUAAGUAUAAAUAUUCUACUUUGAAACUGCGAAUGGCUCAUUAUAUCAGUUAUAGUUUAUUUGAUGAAAAGUACUACUUGGAUAACCGUAGUAAUUUUAGAGCUAAUACAUGAUCAAUUCCUCGACUUUGAAGAGGUGUAUUUAUUAGAAUGAAAACCAAUAGACUUUGUCUGUUUGUGAGUAAUAAUAACUUGUCAUAUCGCAUGCUUAGGUAGCGAUGUUUCUUUUAAGUUUUUGCCCUAUCAGCUUUCGAUGGUAGUGUAUUGGACUACCAUGGCAGUAACGGGUAACGAAGAAUUUGGGUUCGAUUUCGGAGAGGGAGCCUGAGAGAUGGCUUCCACAUCCAAGGAAGGCAGCAGGCGCGUAAAUUACCCAAUCCUGACACAGGGAGGUAGUGACAAUAAAUCACAAUGCGGAACUUCUGUUUUGCAAUUGGAUUGAGAACAACGCACAACACUUAUCGAUAAACAAUUGGAGGGCAAGUCUGGUGCCAGCAGC